rnacentral:rRNA from 1 species
UACGUAUGGAGCAAGCGUUAUCCGGAUUUACUGGGUGUAAAGGGAGCGUAGGCGGCUCUGUAAGUCUGAUGUGAAAAUUUGGGGCUCAACCCCAAACGUGCAUUGGAAACUGCAGGGCUUGAGUGCCGGAGAGGCAGGCGGAAUUCCUAGUGUAGCGGUGAAAUGCGUAGAUAUUAGGAGGAACACCAGUGGCGAAAGCGGCUCUCUGGUCUGUAACUGACGCUGAGGUUCGAAAGCGUGGGUAGCAAACAGG